GCAGUCAUGGCCGAGGGGUUAAGGAGAUGGACUAGAAAUCCAUUGGGGUCUCCCCGCACAGGUUCGAAUCCUGUCGACUGCG
rnacentral:tRNA from 1 species